UACGGAGGGAGCUAGCGUUGUUCGGAAUUACUGGGCGUAAAGCGCACGUAGGCGGCUACUCAAGUCAGAGGUGAAAGCCCGGGGCUCAACCCCGGAACUGCCUUUGAAACUAGGUAGCUAGAAUCUUGGAGAGGUCAGUGGAAUUCCGAGUGUAGAGGUGAAAUUCGUAGAUAUUCGGAAGAACACCAGUGGCGAAGGCGACUGACUGGACAAGUAUUGACGCUGAGGUGCGAAAGCGUGGGGAGCAAACAGGAUUAGAAACCCCCGUAGUCC
rnacentral:rRNA from 1 species